rnacentral:lncRNA from 1 species
UAGGAGGUACAUUUGGUACCUAUUGUUAUUAUUUUAAGCAUACAGAGAGUUAUAAGAAAGGAUUUGAAAAUCAAAAAGUGGGAUUAAAAAACUAACCUAAAGAGCUAGAUUUUAUAUAAAAAGUGGAUAUAUUCCAAUCUAAAUCAAAUGAAAGAGAGUUUUUGGAAGUUAGUAUUCAAAAGAAGGAUUUUUACAUAAGUUGUUUUUAAAAGAGGUUUCAAUUUGAGCCAUAUCUUGAAUUUUUGGACGAAUUUUUGGCUCAAA